AUUGAACGCUGGCGGCAGGCCUAACACAUGCAAGUCGAGCGGAUGAAGGGAGCUUGCUCCUGGAGUCAGCGGCGGACGGGUGAGUAAUGCCUAGGAAUCUGCCUGGUAUUGGGGGAUAACGUCCGGAAACGGGCGCUAAUACCGCAUACGUCGUGAGGGAGAAAGUGGGGGAGCUUCGGACCUCACGCUAUCAGAUGAGCCUAGGUCGGAUUAGCUAGUUGGUGGGGUAAAGGCCUACCAAGGCGACGAUCCGUAACUGGUCUGAGAGGAUGAUCAGUCACACUGGAACUGAGACACGGUCCAGACUCCUACGGGAGGCAGCAGUGGGGAAUAUUGGACAAUGGGCGAAAGCCUGAUCCAGCCAUGCCGCGUGUGUGAAGAAGGUCUUCGGAUUGUAAAGCACUUUAAGUUGGGAGGAAGGGCAGUAAGUUAAUACCUUGCUGUUUUGACGUUACCAACAGAAUAAGCACCGGCUAACUUCGUG
rnacentral:rRNA from 1 species